AGCCAGAUUAAAGUUACUGGGAAAUAUUUAGCAAAAUAAAUUCAUAUACAAUAAAACACAGAUAACAUUUUAAAAAUGAGACAAUAUGUGACCCACAGGGAUCUCUCUCUACAGAUUAAUGGUCUGUUUCCAUUUGAGUUUGACACCAUUGUCCUACAGCAUCCUAUUUUGCCCUUGAAGAUUCUGAUGUUUGGGAUACCCCUCCUUACAUGAAACAAAGGGAAGGCCAUGGAGCAUGGUGGAUAGAGAGCUGACCUUGGGACCAGGAAAGUAAAUCAGCAGAUAUGUGCCUGGGGUGAAGGACCAUCAAUUCAUCUGUGGAGGGGUGGCUGUGUCAACCCUGGAAUGCUUCAAGACUGCAAUGAGAAAGGCAGCAAGACCUCUCCUGCAUUGACAAAUGAUGACAAGGUGGACAAUGGAGGAACAUAGAACCUGUACUCUGGGGACUCUGGCAUUCCAGAGGAAAACUUUCCACUAGUACCACAGAAGAUGGAUGCACUCCAUUUCUGGAAAGCAUCUUAAAAAGAACAGAUCAAAACUCAAAAGACCAAGAGCAGAAGACAUAAUUGUAGUCAGAUCCCUCUGACAAUGAAAACCAUGUUCUGAAGUUACAUCAUAAUAGGAAUCUGGAAGAAUCAUGUUGUGCCUCAGUUUCCUCACUUUAAAAGUUGUUGCCCUCCUUCUAGGUCUGUGUAACACUUCACUUACAGCUUCCAACAGUUUGGAUAAUAGUGGAAAUAUGUGAAUAAA